rnacentral:misc_RNA from 1 species
GAAGAUGAAGAGCUUGAGGAAUGUAUUGAAAGAAAGAACAAAUAUCACCUUUUGGAGAUUCCAAUAGAAGUUGAGGAAAGGGAAUCCAUAGGGACAAUAUUGGAACUUGGAGAAAAUCAAUUCACGGAGAUGAUAAGGAUUGAAGAUUUCUCCACUCUUUAAUUCCGAUGGUUUUUGUAGAUUUUAUUUGUCCAAGCAUAGGUGGAUAUGAAGAAAAAUGUGAUGAUUCUCACUUCAAUUUUGUGAAAUUCAGCAUUGUUGACAUUGACCAAGAGGGCAAUAUGGUGUGCUCCACUAACAAAGUUCCUAAUUCUCUUACACUUCAAAAUCUGAGGACUGGCUUAUUCUAAGUGGAGAAGAAUGGUAUGGAAGCUAACGGUGCAAAAUUUUGGGUCAUUGCAAGCUGUUCUAACUCGAGGAUGAGUUUUUGCAAGUGAGGAAGUCUGAUGCGGAGCAUUUUUUUUUUUGGGACGAGAUAAUGUUUAGAUUUAGUUUUUCUUAAUGUUCAUAUUUAGUUAAAUUAAGGCUGCAGAUUUAGUUUCUUAUUGUUUUCCAUUUUAAUUACUAUUUGUUUUCUUUUACUAUUUCAAUUAGGACUAGUUAUUAGUUUUCCUACUUUAUCCAAGUUAUAGUUUUUCCUAUUUUAUUUAGGAUUCCUACUGUAUUUUUAGUUUAUCUAAACUUCCUAAAUAGUAGACCUAAUUUCCUAUUAGGUUUAGGAGAUCA